AGCAGGAGGGACUUGAUCCUGGCACUCUGGAAUCAUGACCUGAGCUGAUGGCACUUACCCAACCGAGCCACCCCAGCGCCUUGGCCUAAACAUUUUCCACAAAACAUCUCAAUUAACUCUCACCACGACCCUCCUAGUGCUCAGGAGACUUCGUAGAGGACAGGUUUGUUCAUGAAUCUUCAGCAGCGUGGACAAGCUAUGGCCCACACCUCAAACCCAGCCCACCGUCUGCUUUGGUACAUUGCAUGAAGCCUUCAGUGGGUUGCACGAGGCCACCCGCUCCGGGAAAGGAAAUCUGCUUUACUCCGUCCACUGAUCCAAAUGUCUCGUCUCACCCAGAACUCCCCGCAUGGACUCCCCAGAAUAACGUAAAACCAAAUGCCUGGCGACCCCACAGCCCCAGUCAAGCUGACACAUAAACUUCGCCAUCACAAGAGCCUACUGUUGUGAUCUCCCUCCCAGCUCACCAGCACACAGGACGCUCAGAUCCUCGGAGGGACGGGAGAAUAGGAGCCCUAUAGCUGUGUGAAGGCCUGGCUCCGAGAAAGAGACAGGAAACCGAAUUCAAGAAUGGCCCCCACCUGGCCUGCUAGCCCUGUUCAGGUCUGAGUGGGCAGUGAUCUCCAUCCUGUGGUGCCUGGGUCCAUCGCACAUCUCGGAGAUUGAUAAGAUUUCCCUUAAGUUGAGUAUUUCCAGCUUGGAUCUCGAACCGUUGCCCACUGCCAGAAGCCCACGCGGCUGCUUUCUCAUCUGUGGGAAACUCCUGACCCUCGGUUCUCCACUGGAUACCAGGUUUGGGUCCUCACCAUACACCAGCAGGAUCAAGAUGUUCUCUGUGGAACAAAGAGGGAAACAAAGGCUCAGAGCUGGCAAGGGAAGGAGCCGAGCCCUCAUCUACCUCCAAAACGCAGGACACAGCGAGAAGACUGCUCUCAACAAGCCAGGGAGGAAGCUUUCACCAAACACCACGUCUGCCGGUGCCUUGAUCUUGGACUUCCAAGCCUCCAGAACCAGGAGAAGUCAGUAUUCAUGGCUUAAGCCCUACAGUUUAUGGAAUUUUGCUAAAGCAGCCCAAGCAGAGACACAAUAUUAUCAUUUACUCAAUAUUUCUUUAGAUUGGCUUUUUUUUUCACUCAAAUAAGCUCCUUAAAGGAAAUUGGUAUCGUAUCCAUAAAGAAUAAGUCACUAUUACUUAGCAUAAUUGGGAAGUAGCCAUAAAAAUAAUUCCAAUGGAAACAAACCAAUGUUGUUAAAUUCCGGCUAAAAGCUCAGAUUGAAGCCAAAUUCUUCCUUCUCAGCUAGGUGGAUUAGCAAGUCCUAGAAAGUGAGUAAGUACCCAGGAGGUAUUAAAGGCAAAGCUUUCUCUGGUAAUCAUAAAUGUUGAUAAUUGGG